rnacentral:misc_RNA from 1 species
AAGACUAUAGACCUGCGGAGUACCUGCGGAGGGAUCAUUACAGGACUCGCAAGACUCCUACAACCCUGUGAACCUACUAUACGAACGUUGCUUCGGCGGGUGCGCCCCGGGGAUUCGUUCCCGCGGCGCGUCAGCCCGCCGGCAGCCUACAAAUUCUGUUUCUUUGCGUUGGCAUCUCGAGAAAAACAAAUAAGUUAAAACUUUCAGCAAUGGAUCUCU